AAGAGGAGGGUGUGGCUUAAUUUGUGCGUGAGUGAUUUCAUGAGAAAUAUUUUUUCGUGUAAUAAAUGGGGUGUUAAAAGAGGAUAAGGUCAAGGCGCUAAGAUUGGUUGCUCAUUCAAAUUCAAACUUUAUUUUGAAUUUGAAUGGCCAAUCAAUCAUCCUUAUCCACUCAUAUGGUGCAUUAAAGUAGGGCGUGAGGAGGGCUUUGCAUGAGGAAAAAUUCAUAAGAACUUCCUUCUCAUGAAUUCAAAAGGGUGCAGUGGA
rnacentral:lncRNA from 1 species